rnacentral:tRNA from 1 species
AGGUGCAUAGUUUAAAUGGCAAAAAUAUCGCACUCCAAAUGCGAAGACUUCAGGGUUCGAAUCCUUGUGCACCUG